rnacentral:rRNA from 1 species
UCGAGAAUAGUCUACAAUGGUCGAAAGACUGAUAGUGCGACGCCGCGUGAACGAAGACUCCUUUCGGGGUGUAAAGUUCUUUUAUAUGUGAGCAGUGGAUGUUACAUUAAUAGUGUGAUAUCAGGGAUAUUAGCAUAUGAAUAAGCAACGGCUAACUCCGUGCCAGCAGCCGCGGUAACACGGGGGUUGCGAGCGUUGUCCGGAAUUACUAGGCGUAAAGGGCAGGUAGGCGGAGAUGUAAGUUUGAUGUUAAAGGUACUGGCUCACCCAGUGUACGGCAUCAGAUACUGCAUUUCUUGAAUACGGUUGGGGAAGACAGAAUUCCUGGUGUAGCGGUGGAAUGCGCAGAGAUCAGGAGGAAUACCGAAGGCGAAGGCAGUCUUCUAAGCCGGUUAUUGACGCUAAACUGCGAAGGUGUGGGUAUCAAACAGG